rnacentral:rRNA from 1 species
CCCCAAAGUGAGGAAUAAGCCACCGAAAGGUGGUCUAAUACUUCAUAAUAUCCAUCUCGUAUGGAUUAAAGCUUUAUGCGCUUUGGGAGGGGCCUGCGUAACAUUAGCUUGUUGGUGAGGUAAAAGCUCACCAAGGCUUCGAUGUUUAACUGGUUUGAGAGGAUGACCAGUCACACUGGGACUGAGAUACGGCCCAGACUCCUACGGGAGGCAGCAGUAAGGAAUCUUCCACAAUGGGGCAACCCUGAUGGAGCAAUACCGCGUGCAGGAUGAAGCGUUUCGGCGUGUAAACUGCUUUUAUCACCGAAGAUUAUGACUGUAGGUGAAGAAUAAGGACCGGCUAACUACGUG